rnacentral:rRNA from 1 species
UACAGAGGUCUCAAGCGUUGUUCGGAUUCAUUGGGCGUAAAGGGUGCGUAGGCGGCGCGGUAAGUCGGGUGUGAAAUCUCGGAGCUUAACUCCGAAACUGCAUUCGAUACUGCCGUGCUUGAGGACUGGAGAGGAGACUGGAAUUUACGGUGUAGCGGUGAAAUGCGUAGAUAUCUGGAGGAACACCGGUGGCGAAGGCGGCAUCCUGGACCGACACUGACACUGAGGAGCGAAAGCCAGGGGAGCAAACGGG